UAGACUAAAGCUAGUUUAUUAAAGCAUUUAGCUGUUAACUAAAGAUUUGUGGGUUAAAGUCCUGCUAGCCUAG
rnacentral:tRNA from 1 species